rnacentral:rRNA from 1 species
AACGAACGCUGGCGGCAGGCCUAACACAUGCAAGUCGAACGCCCCGCAAGGGGAGUGGCAGACGGGUGAGUAACGCGUGGGAACAUACCCUUCGGUUCGGAAUAGCUCAGGGAAACUUGGAUUAAUACCGGAUACGUCCGUAAGGAGAAAGAUUUAUCGCCGAAGGAUUGGCCCGCGUCUGAUUAGCUUGUUGGUGAGGUAAUGGCUCACCAAGGCGACGAUCAGUAGCUGGUCUGAGAGGAUGACCAGCCACAUUGGGACUGAGACACGGCCCAAACUCCUACGGGAGGCAGCAGUGGGGAAUAUUGGACAAUGGGCGAAAGCCUGAUCCAGCCAUGCCGCGUGAGUGAUGAAGGCCUUAGGGUUGUAAAGCUCUUUUACCCGGGAAGAUAAUGACGGUACCGGGAGAAUAAGCCCCGGCUAACUUCGUGCCAGCAGCCGCGGUAAUACGAAGGGGGCUAGCGUUGUUCGGAAUUACUGGGCGUAAAGCGCACGUAGGCGGAUUUUUAAGUCAGGGGUGAAAUCCCGAGGCUCAACCUCGGAACUGCCUUUGAUACUGGGAAUCUUGAGUCCGGGAGAGGUGAGUGGAACUGCGAGUGUAGAGGUGAAAUUCGUAGAUAUUCGCAAGAACACCAGUGGCGAAGGCGGCUCACUGGCCCGGUACUGACGCUGAGGUGCGAAAGCGUGGGGAGCAAACAGGAUUAGAUACCCUGGUAGUCCACGCCGUAAACGAUGGAUGCUAGCCGUUAGACAGCUUGCUGUUUAGUGGCGCAGUUAACGCUUUAAGCAUCCCGCCUGGGGAGUACGGUCGCAAGAUUA